rnacentral:rRNA from 1 species
CGUGUAGGCGGCUUCAUAAGUCUGAUGUGAAAGCCCUGGGCUCAACCUGGGAAGUGCAUUGGAUACUGUGAGACUUGAGUACGGGAGAGGGCAGUGGAAUUCCUAGUGUAGGAGUGAAAUCCGUAGAUAUUAGGAGGAACACCGGUGGCGAAGGCGGCUGCCUGGACCGAUACUGACGCUGAGACGCGAAAGCGUGGGGAGCAAACAGGAUUAGAUACCCUGGUAGUCCACGCCGUAAACGAUGAGUACUAGGUGUUGCGGGUAUUGACCCCUGCAGUGCCGUAGCUAACGCAUUAAGUACUCCGCCUGGGAAGUACGGUCGCAAGACUAAA